GACGAACGCUGGCGGCGUGCCUAAUACAUGCAAGUCGAGCGAAGUUUUUCUGGUGCUUUCCCCUGAAAAACUUAGCGUCGAACGGGGGAGUAACACGUAAAGAACCUGCCUCAUAGACUGGGACAACUAUUGGAAACGAUAGCUAAUACCGGAUAAUAGCAUUAACUGCAUGGUUGAUGUUUAAAAGUUGGUUUUGCUAACACUAUGAGAUGGCUUUGCGGUGCAUUAGCUAGUUGGUGGGGUAAAGGCCUACCAAGGCGACGAUGCAUAGCCGACCUGAGAGGGUGAUCGGCCACACUGGGACUGAGACACGGCCCAGACUCCUACGGGAGGCAGCAGUAGGGAAUCUUCCGAAAUGGGCGAAAGCCUGACGGAGCAACGCCGCGUGAGUGAAGAAGGAUUUCGGUUCGUAAAGCUCUGUUGUUAGGGAAGAAAGAUUGUGUAGUAACUAUACACAGUAGAGACGGUACCUAAACAGAAAGCCACGGCUAACUACGUG
rnacentral:rRNA from 1 species